rnacentral:rRNA from 1 species
AGCAGCCGCGGUAAUUCCAGCUCCAAUAGCGUAUAUUAAAGUUGUUGCAGUUAAAAAGCUCGUAGUUGAAUUUCGAGAUCAAAUUGUUGGUCGUGCCUCGGUACGUACUGGCAUUAUUGAUUUCUCCCUUCUGAAGAACCACGAUGUCAUUAAUUUGGUGUCGUGGGGAAUCAGGACUGUUACUUUGAAAAAAUUAGAGUGUUUAAAGCAGGCUCACGCUUGAAUACAUUAACAUGGAAUAAUGAAAUAGGACGUUUGAUUCUAUUUUGUUGGUUUCUAGGAUCGACGUAAUGAUUAAUAGGGAUAGUUGGGGGCAUUAGUAUUCAAUUGUCAGAGGUGAAAUUCUUGGAUUUAUUGAAGACUAACUACUGCGAAAGCAUUUGCCAAGGAUGUUUUCAUUAAUCAAGAACGAAAGUUAGGGGAUCGAAGACGAUCAGAUACCGUCGUAGU